CAUGUUUCUAUAUAUACAUGUAUGAGGUAUUCCACACCAUUUCACCUAAUCGGUGAAGGUCACCGACGCCGAUCUUGGUGUCAAUUUUUGUCUCAAUUGGUCUAUCGAAAAAAAAGAACACGUGUUCGGCCGUUUUUCGAUUAGGCCACCUGUGUCGAUUUUAUGAAUUUUCCAA